rnacentral:tRNA from 2 species
GGACGGUUAGCUCAAUGGUUAGAGCGCAUGGUUUACAUCCAUGAGGUUAUAGGUCCGAAUCCUAUACCGUCCAUCA